rnacentral:rRNA from 1 species
GAUGAACGCUGGCGGCGUGCCUAAUACAUGCAAGUCGAGCGAACGGACGAGAAGCUUGCUUCUCUGAUGUUAGCGGCGGACGGGUGAGUAACACGUGGAUAACCUACCUAUAAGACUGGGAUAACUUCGGGAAACCGGAGCUAAUACCGGAUGAUAUUUUGAACCGCAUGGUUCAAAAGUGAAAGACGGUCUUGCUGUCACUUAUAGAUGGAUCCGCGCUGCUCUAGCUAGUUGGUAAGGUAACGGCUUACCAAGGCAACGAUGCAUAGCCGACCUGAGAGGGUGAUCGGCCACACUGGAACUGAGACACGGUCCAGACUCCUACGGGAGGCAGCAGUAGGGAAUCUUCCGCAAUGGGCGAAAGCCUGACGGAGCAACGCCGCGUGAGUGAUGAAGGUCUUCGGAUCGUAAAACUCUGUUAUUAGGGAAGAACAUAUGUGUAAGUAACUGUGCACAUCUUGACGGUACCUAAUCAGAAAGCCACGGCUAACUACGUG